rfam:Schizosaccharomyces japonicus yFS275 unplaced genomic scaffold supercont5.4, whole genome shotgun sequence.
GGCGAAGUGGCCGAGUGGUCUAUGGCGCUAGCUUCAGGAAACUGAGCGUGCUAGUUCACAUAUGUGAGCGUGGGUUCGAACCCCACCUUCGUCA